GAUGAACGCUGGCGGCGUGCCUAACACAUGCAAGUCGAGCGAUCUUCUUCGGAAGAGAGCGGCGGACGGGUGAGUAACGCGUGGGUAACCUGCCCUGUACACACGGAUAACAUACCGAAAGGUAUGCUAAUACGAGAUAAUAUACUUUUAUCGCAUGGUAGAAGUAUCAAAGCUCUGGCGGUACAGGAUGGACCCGCGUCUGAUUAGCUAGUUGGUAAGGUAACGGCUUACCAAGGAGACGAUCAGUAGCCGACCUGAGAGGGUGAUCGGCCACAUUGGAACUGAGACACGGUCCAAACUCCUACGGGAGGCAGCAGUGGGGAAUAUUGCACAAUGGGCGAAAGCCUGAUGCAGCAACGCCGCGUGAGCGAUGAAGGCCUUCGGGUCGUAAAGCUCUGUCCUCAAGGAAGAUAAUGACGGUACUUGAGGAGGAAGCCCCGGCUAACUACGUGCCAGCCGCCGCCGCAG
rnacentral:rRNA from 1 species